rnacentral:rRNA from 1 species
UACGUAGGGGGCAAGCGUUGUCCGGAUUCAUUGGGCGUAAAGAGCGUGUAGGCGGCCAGGCAGGUCCGCUGUGAAAACUCGAGGCUCAACCUCGAGAUGUCGGUGGAAACCGUCUGGCUAGAGUCCGGAAGAGGAGAGUGGAAUUCCCGGUGUAGCGGUGAAAUGCGCAGAUAUCGGGAGGAACACCGGUGGCGAAGGCGGUUCUCUGGGCCUUACCUGACGCUGAGGAGCGAAAGCGUGGGGAGCGAACAGG